rnacentral:rRNA from 1 species
AUUGAACGCUGGCGGAAUGCUUUACACAUGCAAGUCGAACGGCAGCACGGGGGCAACCCUGGUGGCGAGUGGCGAACGGGUGAGUAAUACAUCGGAACGUGCCCAGUCGUGGGGGAUAACGUAGCGAAAGUUACGCUAAUACCGCAUACGAUCUACGGAUGAAAGCGGGGGCCCGUAAGGCCUUGCGCGAUUGAAGCGGCCGAUGUCAGAUUAGGUAGUUGGUGAGGUAAAGGCUAACCAAGCCGACGAUCUGUAGCUGGUCUGAGAGGACGACCAGCCACACUGGGACAGAGACACGGCCCAGACUCCUACGGGAGGCAGCAGUGGGGAAUUUUGGACAAUGGGCGCAAGCCUGAUCCAGCCAUUCCGCGUGCAGGACGAAGGCCUUCGGGUUGUAAACUGCUUUUGUACGUAACGAAAAGGCUCUGGUUAAUACCUGGGGCUCAUGACGGUACCGUAAGAAUAAGCACCGGCUAACUACGUGCCAGCCGCCGCUGUAA